UGGUGUCUGUUUAGAAGCAAGCGGAGUAAAACGCUGAGGAAAUAUCGAGAGGCAAUGUGACAGGGGACAGUCGCGUGCGGAGUAGGUGCCUCAGGAAUAUUUUGAAUAGGAUGGCACUGGAGACUCUGCUGCCUUGGAGGAGUUUUUAUGCUAAUUAAGGUAUAAGAAUGGCAGUGGAAUUAUCAGAAGGGCCUUUGAUAAUGAUACUUCUGCUUGUCCAAAACAAGAAUACUCAUGCAGCAGGAAAGUUGUCAGGAGCCGCCCUCGUCCCUCGAGGGAGCGCAGCGCACGCAGGACAUCGCACCCGGACGCUCGCCUCCGCCGCCUAAGAGAGGACUGGAUUUUACAAAACAUGAGUUUUACAUUUAAGAGAACACAGAAAAUACCUCAAGCAAGAUGACACCAACCUGAAAACUUAACUCUGUGAUCCCAUCCAGGACACCACUUACAAUGAGUUGUCAUGUCUUCUUAGGCUCUAAGAAGAUGUUUUUGAUGACCUUGACACUUCACGAUGCUGGUCAGGUGUAUUGCAGAAUGUCCCUCAAUUUGGGUUUGCCUAAUGUUUUUCUCAUGGUUAGACUGGGGUUAUAGGUUUUUUGGGGUGAAAACUACAGGAGUAAAGCACUGUUCUCAGCACUUCCUAUCAAGGGUACAUGCUGUCAACAUGACAUAACACAGAUGGCGUUUAACCCUGGCUGAGGUAGCAUCUGCCAGGUUUCUUGGCUGUAAAGUUACUUUCCCUUCUCUUUCUAUGUUGUAUUCUUUGGAAGCAAGGCACUAAGCAUUACCCACACUUUAGGGAAUGGGGAGUUAUGUUCCAUCUCCUUGAAAAGGAAAUAUCUACAAAAAUUAAAAUACAAGCGAUUAUGAAACAUGGUUGCCAGUGAAACUAAUGUAAGCUCAGGCUAUGUUGGCAGAAGGUGUGUAAAAAUGAGAGGGGCUAGUUUCAUUAUACCCUCCAUGUGUCCUGUUACACCUGUAAAUUGUUGUUCGGUUCUGUUGUUCUCAGUAUAGAGGAAUAAUCACAAACUGUAGCACUUCAGAAAGGGCUGGCCACAUUCAUGGUCUGGAAUGAUUAAAUAAACUGGAUAUUUGACCCAGAAAGACUGAGGGUGAACAUUAUAGUUUUUUCCUGUGGUAUGAAAUGUACCCUGUGUUCCAGAAGGCAGA